AAGCCGUAACAAGGUUUCCGUAGGUGAACCUGGGGAAGGAUCAGUAACACGUAUCCAACGUCAAAACCCCCUGUGAACCUUCAGUGUGCUCGCACUUUGUUAGAAAAGGUAGCAAUCCCUGGUAAAUCAUUGCCGAACAGUUUUGAUUCAGGGACUUCCGCGUAGACUGUGCUUAGCGCGAGGCAAGUGGCCUGGCAUUCCUCUGCUUGUUGGUGUGUGAAAGUGUCACCAGCUCUGUACGAAUGGUGCAGUCACGAUCGCUAGAGGCCGACACGGCCGGCGACCGGGUCACUGGGCGCGAGAGCCCCUCGCCACCUUUGCAUGAAACGGGCCUGCGCUUAAUUGUGCGGCCACCAAACUCGAACAACUGUUAACAAUGGAUAUCUUGGUUCUC
rnacentral:misc_RNA from 1 species